rfam:Corchorus olitorius cultivar O-4 contig09143, whole genome shotgun sequence.
GCCGCUAUGGUGAAAAUCGGUAGACACGCUGCUCUUAGGAAGCAGUGCUAGAGCAUCUCGGUUCGAGUCCGAGUGGCGGCA